rnacentral:tRNA from 1 species
GGGGGUAUAGCUCAGUGGCAGAGCAUGUGUUUGGCAUGCAGGAUGCCCUGGAUUCAAUCCUCAGUACCUCCA